CUACGGGAGGCAGCAGUGGGGAAUAUUGGACCAUGGGCGAAAGCCUGAUCCAGCCAUGCCGCGUGUGUGAAGAAGGCCUUCGGGUUGUAAAGCACUUUCAGUGGGGAAGAAAGCCUUGGGGCUAAUACCCUCGAGGAAGGACAUCACCCACAGAAGAAGCACCGGCUAACUCCGUGCCAGCAGCCGCGGUAAUACGGAGGGUGCGAGCGUUAAUCGGAAUUACUGGGCGUAAAGCGCGCGUAGGCGGUCUGAUAAGCCGGUUGUGAAAGCCCCGGGCUCAACCUGGGAACGGCAUCCGGAACUGUCAGGCUAGAGUGCAGGAGAGGAAGGUAGAAUUCCCGGUGUAGCGGUGAAAUGCGUAGAGAUCGGGAGGAAUACCAGUGGCGAAGGCGGCCUUCUGGACUGACACUGACGCUGAGGUGCGAAAGCGUGGGUAGCAAACAGGAUUAGAUACCCGAGUAGUC
rnacentral:rRNA from 1 species